ACACCUCAACUCUCAUGGUUUGCCAUGAUGAGCUUGGACUUUGGGGGUUUUGCUGGCCUACGGUCGGCUCUCCUCAAAUGAAUCAGCUUGCCAGUGUUUUGGUGGCAUUCACAGGUGUGAUAACUAUCUACGCUUGUGGGUUCCCACCAUGCAACCUUCAGUGAUGAAGGUUCGCUGGAGCUUAUAAAUGUCUCUCUCGGUGAGGACAGCUUUUUGAA
rnacentral:misc_RNA from 1 species